rnacentral:misc_RNA from 1 species
AAGUCGUAACAAGGUUUCCGUAGGUGAACCUGCGGAAGGAUCAUAUUAACCGUAUCCAACGUUAAACAACCCCGUGAAUCCCUGGUAAAUCAUUGUUGACCAGCUUUUGAGUCAGGGACCUCUGCAGAUUGUGAUAUUUUAUUGCUACGGUUGAGCGAUUGUAUCUAGUGACCUGGCAUCCCCAAGUAAUCAGUGUUCUGAAAGUGUCAUUGAUUGUGUAAGGAUCAGUCACGAUCGCUGUAGGCCACACGGCCGGCGACCGGGUAACUUCCCCGCGCGUGAAAUUCGCACGGCACCAAAAACCGAACAACUGUUAACAAUGGAUAUCUUGGUUCUC